AUUGAACGCUGGCGGCAGGCCUAACACAUGCAAGUCGAACGAGUGGCAGACGGGUGAGUAAUGUCUGGGAAACUGCCUGAUGGAGGGGGAUAACUACUGGAAACGGUAGCUAAUACCGCAUACCAUCGGAUGUGCCCAGAUGGGAUUAGCUAGUAGGGGGGGUAAAGGCGCACCUAGGCGACGAUCCCUAGCUGGUCUGAGAGGAUGACCAGGCACACUGGAACUGAUACAAGGGCCAGACUUCUACGGGAGGGAAGAGUGGGGAAUAUUGCACAAUGGGCGCAAGCCUGAUGCAGCCAUGGCGAGUGUAUGAAGAAGGCCUUCGGGUUGGAAAGGACUUUCAGGGGGGAGGCGUUACCCGCAGAAGAAGCACCGGCUAACUCCGUGCCAGCAGCCGCGGUAAUAC
rnacentral:rRNA from 1 species